AAACCUCUGCACUUGGAGGCCCAACAACGUCUACAAGAAGAAGGUUGCGUAGUAGACAUCAAGCUCUUUUCUGGCGCCGUUGCCGGGGAGGUGAGUGCUUGAAGGUAUAUCUUUAGAUCUUGCAAAUCUUCAGGGAGAUGAGACGAUGGGAUGUGGCCGCGCCGUGCUACCUGUUGUUGUUGUGCUAGCUUUGUUGUGUGUGUGUGUGUGUGUGUGUGCGCGCGCGUGUGUGUGAGAGAGAGAGGGAGGGAUGGAGGGCAUUGGCUGAUAGGGGAUGGUUAUGUUGUUGCUAGAUAUGAGCAAUGUUCUAUCUAUGUCUUUAGAGAAGCCUUUUGCUUUAGUUUAACUGGGGUGGAGAGUGGGUACUGUUGUGACAAAGUUGCAUGUUACUAGAUUAUCAAACAUGUUGUUUAGGUGAAUAUCUACCGUCGAAAAGAGAACAAUGGUACUCUGAUUAUACUGUUUUAUGCUCGAUGUUAAAGAAUACUCUUACAAGUAGUUAGCGACAAGCUGAUGGUGCAUUAUAUUGUAUAGAAGAUUCUUUUGAUCCCACAAUGCCAAUUGUGCAUUUAUUGUUCUAUACCUAUUUUGUCCCUCAUGAAUCUCUAUAUUUAAAAAUUAUUGGUAGUAACUAUUGAUUAACUCCGUGCUUACCUCUCAAGUUCUUUGCGUAAUUUUUGUAAUUAUUAGUAGUACAUCAAGUUUUGAAUAAGAAUUAUUAGUAAGUACAUGUUGAUCACUGCUUAUAAUGAAAAUAAACGUCCAUGGUUUAAAGGAGCUUUAUUGUUUCACUCCAUACCAAGUUAUCUGUGGGUUAUACUGAAGCUUAUAUUGUCUCUGGUUAAUCUGCAUAUCAAAUAUUCUAAGCUUCCUUUUUAUGAGCAAACGGGUGAACUAAGAAAGGAAAACUUGUUCUCUGCCUGAACUAGCUGAACAUUGCCAACUUAGUAAAAUGAUAUGAACUUGUGUGUAAUGCACAUAGCAGGUCGAAAAACUACCAUUGUAUUUGCAUAUACUGUUUGAGGCACUAUUUUUCUGAAAACAUGUUGGUGGUCAGUGGUCAUGAGAAGCUUUCAACAUUCUGCAUGGUGUUAAUAUUCUUGAAUUUGUUUUGGUUGACUGCAUAACUGAGUAACAUUUCUCUUCAUAUUCUUACUGUAUAAUUUCAAACACAUUUUUUCUGGAAAGUUGGCAUGUGACGAGGGAGUAUUGUUCACAGACCCUCCUAUACACUACAUGGAUCUAAGAUUUUGUAGUCAACACGAGGUAAGAAGUUUUGCGAGAAGGAAACUAUCCAGACGUUGGCAACAUUAUUUGAUAACUGGCCUGGGAUAGACAAUGACAUCUCAUCGUGCAAGAUGAUAAGUAAAGUAUUUUGUCUAUUGUUAUCAUGGUUUAUUUGUUGUUUCUAAUAACUCCACUUGUAGAUUUAUCUUCCCUAUGCAUCCAUCAGCCGAUCCAUCUUAUACGUCAUCGACAAAGAGGCACGUCGUCUAUAUAUUAUGGACCCUAUUCAAACAUCACAAUCGUUAGAGGAUAAUAAUUUGAGGCAUGCACUGAAAUCUAAAAGUUUUGCAAGGGGUUUCAAAGAAACACUCGAAAUAAAGCUACCUGGUUGGAAUUCCGAUAUAUCUAAAUGGCAACAUUUAUUUCCGGUUGGUAUUUCAACGAGUAUAGACGGGAAUGUGUGGCUAUUUUGUUUUUCAUUUUAUGCUCUGGUGGAACGAUAAAGAAUUGGUCAAGCCGGUUUGCGGGGAUGGGUAUGAGUUGAGGAAACAAUUUUUAUUAUACUUGCUAAAACAUCGUGAGAAUGAAGCUAAAGGCAACUUUCCUAAUGUUGUGAAAGAAUUUUUAAGAACAUCAUCUAGAUAUUGAUAGUUUUGUAAUAGAUGUUAAGGUCGACCAUCCCUCAGUUUGUUACAUGGACAUGUCGUUAAUCUUUCUUUUUGUUAUUAAUUUACAUUGCAAAAAUGGACUUUAAUUAUUCAAUAAUUGUGUUUGUGUUAUAUUGUUUGUACAUGUGAAAUUUAACAUGUAACUCUUGCAAACUAUUUCAAGAGCCCGCGGCAACGCACGGGCACUCUACUAGUUAUGGUAAGGGGGGCGAAUAGGACUAGGGCCCCAAGUAGGAUUCCUCCUACUUG